AUGGCGUCAACUGAGAUAGCGAGGCAAGCGGGUGAAGGUGCUCGUGCUGUGCCUCUGGCAGGCCAUGUCGGCUUUGACAGCAUGCCUGACCAGCUGGUCAACAAGUCUGUCAACCACGGAUUCUGCUUUAACAUCCUCUGUGUUGGCGAGACGGGUCUGGGGAAGUCCACCCUGAUGGACACGUUGUUCAACACCAAGUUUGAGGGCGAGCCCACUCAACACAACCAGCCGGGAGUCACCCUAAAAUCCAACACUUAUGAACUCCAGGAGAGUAACGUGCGCCUCAAACUCACUGUUGUCAACACCGUGGGCUUCGGAGACCAGAUCAACAAAGAAGACAGCUACAAGUCUAUUGUGGAGUUCAUUGACGCCCAGUUUGAAGCAUAUCUACAGGAGGAGCUGAAAAUAAAGCGCACGCUACACAGCUACCACGACACCCGCAUCCACGCAUGCCUGUACUUCAUCGCUCCCACGGGACACUCGCUCAAAUCCCUGGACUUGGUGACCAUGAAGAAACUUGAUAGCAAGGUCAAUAUUAUCCCAAUCAUUGCCAAGUCGGACGCUAUCUCCAAGAGCGAGCUGGCCAAGUUCAAAAUCAAAAUCACCAGUGAGCUUGUCAGCAAUGGAGUGCAGAUCUACCAGUUUCCCACUGAUGAUGAGUCUGUGGCAGAGAUCAACUCCACCAUGAAUAGCCAUUUGCCAUUUGCCGUGGUGGGGAGCACGGAGGAAGUGAAGAUUGGGAACAAGAUGGUGAAGGCCCGGCAGUACCCCUGGGGGACUGUGCAGGUGGAAAAUGAGAAUCACUGUGACUUCGUCAAACUGCGAGAAAUGCUGAUCAGAGUGAACAUGGAGGACCUGCGAGAGCAGACUCACACGCGUCAUUAUGAGCUCUACCGCCGCUGCAAGCUGGAGGAGAUGGGCUUUAAGGACACAGACCCUGACAGCAAGCCCUUCAGUCUUCAGGAGACGUAUGAAGCUAAGAGGAAUGAGUUCAUGGGUGAGCUGCAGAAGAAAGAGGAAGAAAUGAGGCAAAUGUUCGUCCAAAGAGUCAAAGAGAAGGAGGCUGAGCUCAAAGAAGCAGAGAAAGAGCUGCAUGAGAAAUUUGACCGUUUAAAGAAGCUCCACCAGGACGAGAAAAAGAAAGUGGAGGAAAAGAAGAAGUCCCUGGACGACGAGCUCAACAUGUUCAAACAGAAAAAGACUGCUGCAGAGCUCUUGCAGAACCAAGCCCAGCAGGCAGGGGGCUCCACCACACUCAAGAGGGACAAAGAGAGGAAAAACUGAUGAGAUGCCGUGCCUGUUAGAAAAGGAAGAAGACACUUGCACUGAGAAGUUAACUCCUCCCACACUUGCUGCAUGCUGCAUGAGGCACCUUUUCUGCUUAGGAUUCCUGUAGAAAAAGUGCUCCCUUGUGGCCAUCCUGCUGUGAAUGAGUUUCCGCCCCAUCAUCCUUUACAGUACCCCCCUUCCCCGCCCUCACCCUCACCCCAUAAUUACCCCCCCCCCGCUCUCUGGAAGACGCUGGGCAUUGCUUAUGAGUUUGACAUCACUUUUUAUUUUGCUGAAUGACACUUGUCUAUUAAAUGGUUUGUACAAGCAAUUAUUCAGCUUGUCCUUUUUAUACAUGGUUAUGAAAAAAUGCAUUCCAUAUUUGACUUAUAUUCAGUGAUUCUUUGCAUGAUCCUUUUUUUUUUUUUAUAUUAACAUACAUGACUACUGUUGUGAUGGGCAGAAAUGUAUUGAAGCUAAAGUGAAACAUGCAUCAGACAGUUGAGUAUGUGUAUGUGGUCAAAGAUCUGUAGUAGAUUAAAAAACAAAUGAUUAAGACCGAUGAGGAUUGAUGCGAGGAUGGAUUAAGUUAAUGUUUAAAACUGCUCCAUCUUUAGAUUGAUUCUCUUCUCUUAUUUAGUUGUUGGCUUGGGGUCGAGCUGGUUAGUUAUAAGCUUGAAGUUAUAAUGCUUAAGAUUUCAGUCCUGGUUGAUUUGGUGACAGUGAGUGCAGUUUAAUACUACACCAAACACUUGUUGAGCUGCUACUUCAACAGAAAUACAACAAUAGAGCAACUUGUGUUUACAGCCAAGCCAAACAAAAUCACAUUGGCCUUUUUCCAUCAUGCCAUGAGCAACGACAAUCUGAUUUCAUGCUGCAUAUUUAGCGAGUAGUACUAUCUGCAGUAUUUAAAACUGAUCAGAAAAAAGACCACUGUUUUCCUUUGUAGAUGCAUUUUUGAUCAGCAUUGACUGUUGCUAAUUGUGGCAAUGAAUACUUUGCACUUCCUGUGAACUCUUCACAAUAAAAGCCACCCCGUGUUUUGCCAGUUGAGAGCUUUUAAUGUGAAGUAGCAGCAUUAAAGUAGAAGUAACUUAAUACAGCUCUUGUACGACUGAUGGUGAGUGAACAGGAAACAGCGAGGCUGAUGUCUGAGAUAGAAUUACAGUAAUGCUGAAUUACAUGCACGCAUCUUUUCCUGCUAAUUCCUUGUGCGCGUGAAGGCAAAAGAAUGGCGGACCCCACCACUGACAAUGAAGAUAGAGAUAAUUACAGAAUGUAAAUAAAACAAUAAUAGACUAUUGCAGAAACCAUAAGUAAUUAGUAUCAAAAAGGAAUUUGAUUUAAUGGAAAUCUUGAGGAAUAUAACUUCCUAAUACCACACCACACUUUAUACACCCAAUAAGAAUUGAAUUUGAGAUUUAAUUUGUUUGGUAUUUAUGUCCCUUUGCUGAUGCUGUUUCACUUCAGCCUGAUGCAUGAGUAGUUGUGAGCCUAAUCUCUUCUCUCCCAUACCUCAUUUAUUGUCAUGUGUUAUGUGCAUACUUGUCUUAGCUUUCACAUUUGCACUUUUUAAAAAUACUCAAAUGUGAUGUUUUGUUGCGUAUAUAUUAAUGUUGUCAGUGCAAUUGUAACUUUCCUUUUAUUUUACUUAUCAUGAAGGCACAUUUAUAAGUCAUUCAUCAAGAUGUCCAUUGUCCUGCAGGGACCAGUUUUGUUUGUAUCAGUGUUGCGCAUAAAAUAAAUAUUAUCUCAUAAGAAAAUAAAGGCCAGAUUUUCACCAAAUAUUA